GAUGAACGCUGGCGGCGUGCCUAAUACAUGCAAGUCGAGCGAACGGACGAGAAGCUUGCUUCUCUGAUGUUAGCGGCGGACGGGUGAGUAACACGUGGAUAUCCUACCUAUAAGACUGGGAUAACUUCGGGAAACCGGAGCUAAUACCGGAUAAUAUUUUGAACCGCAUGGUUCAAAAGUGAAAGACGGUCUUGCUGUCACUUAUAGAUGGAUCCGCGCUGCAUUAGCUAGUUGGUAAGGUAACGGCUUACCAAGGCAACGAUGCAUAGCCGACCUGAGAGGGUGAUCGGCCACACUGGAACUGAGACACGGUCCAGACUCCUACGGGAGGCAGCAGUAGGGAAUCUUCCACAAUGGGCGAAAGCCUGACGGAGCAACGCCGCGUGAGUGAUGAAGGUCUUCGGAUCGUAAAACUCUGUUAUUAGGGAAGAACAUAUGUGUAAGUAACUGUGCACAUCUUGACGGUACCUAAUCAGAAAGCCACGGCUAACUACGUG
rnacentral:rRNA from 1 species